UACGUAGGGUCCGAGCGUUGUUCCGGAAUUACUGGGCGUAAAGAGCUCGUAGGUGGUUUGUCGCGUUGUUCGUGAAAACUCACAGCUCAACUGUGGGCGUGCGGGCGAUACGGGCAGACUAGAGGUACUGCAGGGGAGACUGGAAUUCCUGGUGUAGCGGUGGAAUGCGCAGAUAUCAGGAGGAACACCGGUGGCGAAGGCGGGUCUCUGGGCAGUAACUGACGUGGAGGAGCGAAAAGCGUGGGGAGCGAACAGG
rnacentral:rRNA from 1 species